rnacentral:tRNA from 1 species
CGGGAUGUAGCUCAGUCUGGCAGAGCGCGUGCUUUGGGAGCACGAUGUCGCUGGUUCAAGUCCAGCCAUCCCGACCA